UGUAAUUCUCUUUUCCCAUUUUUUACUGACCAAAGAAGUUUAGAGACAGAUAAUGAUAGGGCAUCAUGAGAGUAAGGAAAUUUGGAGUUAGGGCCACCACUAUUUCAUCAAAAAGCCAUCGAGGAAUCACAUUUCCAAGUGAAUAUUUUCUAGAAUUUUGAGGAGAUAUAGAGAUACUGCUAUGGAGAGAAGGUAAUUUCCCCAAAGUUGCUUAAAAUCGGUAUUUUAUAUAGGAGUCUUUUCCUUUAAAUACUUAGGUCAAUGUGUUUACAUUUAAAAUCUUUUCUUUUCAAUAUUCAUGUUUUGGUUUUAGCACCUUUUCCCCAGAAAAGUAGAAGUAAAUUGCUGCAGUCCAUUUUCAGUUCCCUGGAAGAUUUAGAAAUACUUUAUGCCAGAAACUUAAAUCUCAAUAUAUCGCACAUCGGGCUCUGUACUGUCUAGAAAGGAGGCUCUGAGGCAGCUGUCUAAAGGACAGCUUGGGAGCUCAUCCCCCCGUAAAGUAAGCACUCCAGCAGACCAGCAAGAGAAACCACGAGUAAAAUGAGUGAGUGAAAGCCAUUUUAUGGAAUCUGUUCCAUGGAGCAGGAGGCUUGUCCAGAGUCCUCGGUGUUGAGGAUGGAAGUUGAAAAAACAUCUAGACGUGAUCAAUUCAAACUUUAGU